GACGCACUCUCAGAGUUUGAUCCUGGCUCAGGAUGAACGCUGACAGAAUGCUUAACACAUGCAAGUCGACUCGAGUCUUCGGACUUGGGUGGCGCACGGGUGAGUAACGCGUAAAGAACUUGCCUCUUAGACCGGGACAACAUCUGGAAACGGAUGCUAAUACCGGAUAUUAUGGUUUUUUCGCAUGGAGGAAUCAUGAAAGCUAGAUGCGCUAAGAGAUAGGCCUGCGUUCCAUUAGCUAGUUGGUAAGGUAACGGCUUACCAAGGCAACGAUGGAUAGGGGGACUGAGAGGUUGACCCCCCACAUUGACACUGAGAUACGGGUCAA
rnacentral:rRNA from 1 species